UUCUACGUAAAGCUUUUGUCUUUUGACAUCAUGAAAUCAGGUUAGGGUUAGAUAUCACAAGCACCAGUUAUCACGGAAACGGUAUCUGUUAUUCCGCACAACGUGCGAAUCGAAAGGACUCGUAAAACGAUAUAAAUAUUCCAAAGUAAAUAUGGAUGAUGAAACAUUGAACAGGCUUGCGGUUGAAGCUUUAUUAGAAGAAGCCAAACUUGGUGCACGAAGAGCUGAAAUAAUGGGGCCUAGUGGAUGGGUGAAACCUAAAGAAACAGUCAACAAAAGAUUUCUUCACUCAACAUUACGAAAUGCAGUAAUAGCAAACAAGCAUCGAACUUCAAAACAAGAGAAAGUAAAAGUUCAUACACAACCUCACAAGACAGAUGUUAAAAAAUCAUAGAUCUAAAUUAUAUAUAUAUAUAUGUGUUAUUUGUGUGCUAGUGUAUAUUCUUGAUAUAUAUUUUUGAAAGCUUGCUUUGUUUUUCAUAGGUUCAUACAUAUAGUAUAUAAAUAUAUUUACAAAUAUUGUUACUAAACAAUUGCAAUUUAUUUAUAAUCAUACAUUAUAAGUCAAUGUUACGUGUUUUGUGUACAAAAAUGAAAUACAGUUUCUGUAUAAAAAAGUGUAUUAAUAAAUGGUAUAAGAAUUGUAAUACACACAAUCGUCAAUAUAGAGAAAUACAAAUUCUAGUGUUUUUAAAACUCUGAAUUCUUUUCUUGCCAGUAUAUAUCUGUACACAUAUGUAAUUACUUACACAUAUAUAUAAUUACAUAUAUAUAUAUAUAUAUAUAUAAAUUUUCGAGUUUAGAUACUUUGAAUCAAAAUAUUUUAAUCUUGCAAAUUAUUUCUUGUAAGUUAAUCUAGUAAUUUGUGACCUUCAUAGAAAUCGUUUCUGUUUAAAUUAUUUGUAAUAGUUGCUCUUUCUAGAGUCUAGAAAUAAAGGAUAAAAUUUAUUUGAUAAUUUUAUAAAUAAUUUCUAAUAAAUCUUUUACAAUAAUUGUCAAAACU